AACGAACGCUGGCGGCAUGCCUAACACAUGCAAGUCGAACGAGCUCUUCGGAGCUAGUGGCGCACGGGUGCGUAACGCGUGGGAAUCUGCCCUUGGGUUCGGGAUAACAGUUGGAAACGACUGCUAAUACCGGAUGAUGUCUUCGGACCAAAGAUUUAUCGCCCAGGGAUGAGCCCGCGUCGGAUUAGCUAGUUGGUGGGGUAAAAGCCUACCAAGGCAACGAUCCGUAGCUGGUCUGAGAGGAUGGAUCAGCCACACUGGGACUGAGACACGGCCCAGACUCCUACGGGAGGCAGCAGUGGGAAUAUUGGUCAAUGGACGAGAGUCUGAACCAGCCAAGUA
rnacentral:rRNA from 1 species